rnacentral:rRNA from 1 species
UUUUUCACAUAAGCGGAGGAAAAGAAACCAACCAGGGAUUGCCUCAGUAGCGGCGAGUGAAGCGGCAAGAGCUCAGAUUUGAAAUCUCACCUAGUGUGCGAGUUGUAAAUUGCAGGUUGGAGUCUCGGGUUAGACGUGUGUGCAAGUCCCUUGGAACAGGGUGCCACUGAGGGUGAGAGCCCCGUAGCGUGCAUGUCGACACCUGUGAGGCCCUUCUGACGAGUCGAGUUGUUUGGGAAUGCAGCUCUAAGUGGGUGGUAAAUUCCAUCUAAGGCUAAAUAUUGGCGAGAGACCGAUAGCGAACAAGUACUGUGAAGGAAAGAUGAAAAGCACUUUGAAAAGAGAGUGAAACAGCACGUGAAAUUGUUGAAAGGGAAGGGUAUUGGGCUCGACAUGGGAUUUACGCAUCGUUGCCUCUCGUGGGCGGCGCUCUGGGUUUUUCCUGGGCCAGCAUCGGUUUUCGUUGCAGGAUAAGGACAAUUGGAAUGUGGCUCCUCGGAGUGUUAUAGCCUUUUGUAGAUGCUGCGUAUGGGGACCGAGGGCUGCGGCGGACUCGUUUCGUCUCGGAUGCUGGCACAAUCGGCGCAAUA